rnacentral:sRNA from 1 species
UAGCGCGCAGGGAAGCCUGGUCACCCCACCGUAAUCUUGUUAUGCAAAUAGGCUUUCCACUUGGCCGUCGCCGUCUUGUCCACUCGUUUCUGUGCACAUGGCUGGCAAAAAGAGAAGAUGGAGCUGCCAUUUAGAACAUGCCUAAUCCCAGCUUCAUCUUGCUGAGCAAAAAUGAAGGAGCCUGGACCCAACUUUGUUACUGUGAGUAAGGGUCUUCAUUCAUUCAAGAUGGCAUUUGUUAAGCGCCUACUGUGAGUAGAUGAUCUCCUGUCAAAGACAGUUAACAAAUCCUCGGAAUAUUGCUUCAUGUACAGUUAUUGGAGAUGAGUAACUCACAUUCUCUUAAUUGUAAUGGUUCCUUGGAAAGUCAUCGUGGGAAAUGAAGGCUGGCUCAUACAUUUUCCCAGACAGGAAUUUGGCUGCCAACAGGGAAUUCUAAACAACUAAAAACUCCAGAUGAUGAAUGCACAACAUAAUGAUGGUUAAAUUAAAAAAAAAAAAGAGCAUGACAAACCUUGGAAAUCAAGAAAGUUCUGGAAUGAUGAAGCUGUUCAUGCCAAGACCGAAAGUGCUGGCCCAGUAUGAGUCCAUUCAGUUCAUGCUGUGACAAUUUUCUUGGAACUCCUUUUUAUUGUUAGUUCUCAUUUGUUUCCAUAUUUAGUGAACGUACAUUUAAUUGCAAAGCUGUCAUUAAUAAAAAUUCUUAUAGUAUCUCA